GUGCUGUAACCUGAUGAAGAGGCAAUGGCAUUUCACAAUGUGUACUCCAUUCACAGCUACCUGCUUAAAAUGUGGAAGGUGGAGGAGUAAGAAGAAAAGACUCCUUUAAAUCUGUAGAGGAACUCUGGUGCCUGUAAAUCUGGUAGAGAUGAGUUCUGAAAAGAGAUCUGAAAUAUAAGCUAGGAGCUUUUGCAAAUGAUUUUUGCAAGGCACUCCAUGAAAUGCUACACCAGUGAGAUAUCUGAGAAGAAAGCCCAGGCUGAGAAAUUGCUUCAGAGCAGCAGCUGGAGGAAAAUUGCCAUUUCUUUCGGCAU